rnacentral:rRNA from 2 species
UUGAACGCUGGCGGCAGGCCUAACACAUGCAAGUCGUAACAAGGUAACCCGGGCGGCCGCUCUAGCCUGACUAGUGGCGGACGGGUGAGUAAUGUCUGGGAAACUGCCCGAUGGAGGGGGAUAACUACUGGAAACGGUAGCUAAUACCGCAUAAUGUCGCAAGACCAAAGAGGGGGACCUUCGGGCCUCUUGCCAUCGGAUGUGCCCAGAUGGGAUUAGCUUGUUGGUGAGGUAACGGCUCACCAAGGCGACGAUCCCUAGCUGGUCUGAGAGGAUGACCAGCCACACUGGAACUGAGACACGGUCCAGACUCCUACGGGAGGCAGCAGUGGGGAAUAUUGCACAAUGGGCGCAAGCCUGAUGCAGCCAUGCCGCGUGUAUGAAGAAGGCCUUCGGGUUGUAAAGUACUUUCAGCGGGGAGGAAGGGGUUAAGGUUAAUAACCUUAGCCAUUGACGUUACCCGCAGAAGAAGCACCGGCUAACUCCGUGCCAGCAGCCGCGGUAAUACGGAGGGUGCAAGCGUUAAUCGGAAUUACUGGGCGUAAAGCGCACGCAGGCGGUCUGUCAAGUCGGAUGUGAAAUCCCCGGGCUCAACCUGGGAACUGCAUUCGAAACUGGCAGGCUUGAGUCUCGUAAAGGGGGGUAGAAUUCCAGGUGUACCGUUGAAAUGCGUAGAGAGAUCUGGAGGAAUACCGGUGGCGAAGGCGGCCCCCUGGACAAAGACUGACGCUCAGGUGCGAAAGCGUGGGGAGCAAACAGGAUUAAAUACCCUGGUAGUCCACGCCGUAAACGAUGUCUAUUUGGAGGUUGUGCCCUUGAGGCGUGGCUUCCGAGCUAACGCGUUAAAUAGACCGCCUGGGGAAUACGGCCCAAGGUUAAAACAUUAAUNUCCCGGGCCCCANAACUNGGAAUUUNUUUU